rnacentral:rRNA from 1 species
UACGUAGGGGGCAAGCGUUAUCCGGAUUUACUGGGUGUAAAGGGAGCGCAGACGGAACUGCAAGUCUGAUGUGAAAGCCCGGGGCUCAACCGCGGGACUGCAUUGGAUACUGUGGAUCUGGAGUGCCGGAGGGGCAAGCGGAAUUCCUGGUGUAGCGGUGAAAUGCGUAGAUAUCAGGAGGAACACCGGCGGCGAAGGCGGCUUGCUGGACGGCAACUGACGUUGAGGCUCGAAAGCGUGGGGAGCAAACAGGAUUAGAUACCCG